rnacentral:lncRNA from 1 species
UCUUCUUUUCUUUUUCUUUUUCUUUUCCUUCUUCUUCUUCUUCUUUUCUUCUUCUCCCGUGGACUUGUUUUGGGCUGAAACAGGGGACCGUGAGGUCCCCUCGUUGGGUGGUCGGCCGGCGGCGCAGCCGGCGUGGGACGACCAUCGGCAGGAGAGGAGACGUUCCGACGAUAAGGGGCGGCCAAACCGGUGGUCAACGGUGACCACCGACGAUAGAAAAAUGAUAAAAAGGAAGAUUCUUCCGCAACAAAAUCCGGCGACUCCGGUCGCCGGCGAGCGUGCACAUCGGCACGGAAAGGAAGGGGAAGGAGAGAGGAAGGGGAGGAGGCUUACCUCCGUCGCCGGCGAGGCUUU